rnacentral:rRNA from 1 species
AACCGUGCGAAGGUAGCGUAAUCACUUGUCUUUUAAAUGAAGACCUGUAUGAAUGGCAUCACGAGGGCUUAACUGUCUCCCCCCUCCAGUCAAUGAAAUUGACCUCCCCGUGCAGAGGCGGGGAUACCCCUAUAAGACGAGAAGACCCUGUGGAGCUUUAGACCUAAAAUAAAUUAUGUUCAACACUCUACAAAACCAGUAAAAACUUAAUAAUAUUUAUUCAAGUGUCUUUGGUUGGGGCGACCGAGGGGAAAA